CUCCUUUGGCAGCAGAUAUACUAAAACUAGAAUGAUACAGAGAAGACUAGCAUGGCCCCUGUGCAAGGAUGAAACACAAAUUUGUGAAGCAUUUCAUAUUUUU